rnacentral:miRNA from 1 species
AUGCUUGUCUCCUCUCUCUCUCUCUCUCUCUCUCUAUAUAUAUAUAUAUAUAUAUAUAUAUAUAGAGAGAGAGAGAGAGAGAGAGAGAAAUAUAUAUA